AUGACAGUUCCCAGGAUCUGAUGUGUCUCUCACUGGUUAAAAAGUAUUUUCUUUCAACUGAGUAAUACAGGAUUUCCUCAGUUCUCUUCCUGCUCCCUGCUGCAGUUUCAAGAGGUCCCAACUUCUCUUUGUGCAGCUGACAAUUAACUGUGUCUAUGUGUCUGUGUUCCUGUCAUCAGGUCAUGAGGAAAUGGAGACAGGCUCUCAUCUUUGAUCACCAAGAACCCUGCCUACACUGUCCUGUUCUCUUCCUCAGUUAACUUUCCUAUGUAGCAAAUGUGGGGCUGGGAUGUCUCCAUUCCUGGUAGCUUUAUGUUGCCCUGGACUGUAGACUUUUCCUUGCCCUUUGGAAAACAGAAUGUGUAUAUUGAUUUGUAUUUCACAUUUGUGCCAUGAAUUACGGUUGUGGGUUAAUUAAGUGAAAAGAGGAUUCCUAAAAUUUCUGAGAGAAAAAUAAAACCCCAAACCUUCCAGAAUCCACA